rnacentral:rRNA from 1 species
ACAUGCAAGUCGAGCGAACGGACGAGAAGCUUGCUUCUCUGAUGUUAGCGGCGGACGGGUGAGUAACACGUGGAUAACCUACCUAUAAGACUGGGAUAACUUCGGGAAACCGGAGCUAAUACCGGAUGAUAUUUUGAACCGCAUGGUUCAAAAGUGAAAGACGGUCUUGCUGUCACUUAUAGAUGGAUCCGCGCUGCAUUAGCUAGUUGGUAAGGUAACGGCUUACCAAGGCAACGAUGCAUAGCCGACCUGAGAGGGUGAUCGGCCACACUGGAACUGAGACACGGUCCAGACUCCUACGGGAGGCAGCAGUAGGGAAUCUUCCGCAAUGGGCGAAAGCCUGACGGAGCAACGCCGCGUGAGUGAUGAAGGUCUUCGGAUCGUAAAACUCUGUUAUUAGGGAAGAACAUAUGUGUAAGUAACUGUGCACAUCUUGACGGUACCUAAUCAGAAAGCCACGGCUAACUACGUGCCAGCAGCCGCGGUAAUACGUAGGUGGCAAGCGUUAUCCGGAAUUAUUGGGCGUAAAGCGCGCGUAGGC